AAUCAACGCUGGCGGCGUGCCUAACACAUGCAAGUCGAACGAGAAAGUGGAGCAAUCCAUGAGUAAAGUGGCGCACGGGUGAGUAACACGUGACUAACCUACCUUUGAGCGGGGGAUAACCUAGGGAAACCUGGGCUAAUACCGCAUAAUACCUACGGGUCAAAGCGAGCAAUCGCACUUAAAGAGGGGGUCGCGGCAGAUUAGCUAGUUGGUGAGGUAAUGGCUCACCAAGGCGAUGAUCUGUAUCCGGCCUGAGAGGGCGCACGGACACACUGGA
rnacentral:rRNA from 1 species